AUGUAUUGGGCUCCAGAAAAUCCGUAUGCAGAAAAAGAAGUUCGUUUACCAGGCCCCAGCAUCUGGUGUGGCCUGUUAUUCAGGGGGCUGAUUGGACUCUUAUUUUUUGAAGGUCCUAUUAUCGCUCAAGUGUAUCUACACAUGCUACAAACACCAUUUUACCUAAAAGUCGGGGGCGGCGGCACCGCCGGUGGGGACCGCUGGGAAGGCGAAGACCAGGACGAGGAUGUCAAGGAUAACUGGGAUGAUGAUGACGAUGAAAAAAAAGAGGAAGCAGAAGUAAAACCGGAAGUAAAAAUUUCAGAAAAGAAAAAAACAUAGCAGAGAAGAUAAAGGAGAAAGAACGGCAACAGAAGAAAAGGCAAGAAGAAAUUAAAAAGAGGUGAGAAGAACCUGAAGCACCUAAAGUGCUAACACCGGAACAACCAUUAGCAGAUAAACUGCGGUUAAAGAAAUGGCAGCAAGAGUCGGACCUUGCACUAGCAAAGGAAACUUUCCGUGUUAAUGAUACAGUGUUUGGAAUAGAUGCUAUGAACCCAACUUCAAGAGAUGACUUCACAGAAUUUGGAAGGUUACUAAAAGAUAAAAUUACACAAUAUGAAAAGUCACUGUAUUAUGCCAGUUUUUUGGAAGUCUUAGUUCGAGAUGUGUGUAUUUCAUUGGAAAUUGAUGACUUGAAAAAGAUCACCAAUUCAUUGACGGUGCUUUGCAGUGAAAAACAGAAGCAAGAAAAGCAAAACAAAGCCAAAAAGAGGAAGAAAGGUGUGGUUCCUGGAGGGGGUUUAGAGGCCACCAUGAAAGACGAUCUGGCAGAUUAUGGUGGUUAUGAUGGAGGAUAUGUACAAGACUAUGAAGACUUCAUGUGACAUUUUAUCUUCUCCUGGUGUCUUCUUUAUGUUGCCCACAAUCCCUUCAACAUGUAGCACAAUUUCCUUUCCUUUCAGUUCUGCCAAAUGCUACAAUCAGAAGUGCAGUAUCUUUUGUGCUGGUUAUUUAACCCCUUGACACUUAGGUGCUAAUGUGCAAAUGAGGGAACUUGGAUCUUGCUGCCAAGGGGUUAAAACUGGGAACCUCAGUCGCUACUAAAUCAUAGUUCAAAACAAAACGAACCUAAUAAUGUUGUCAUUGUUGCUAUCUGAUUCCAUAGCAGCAGUCACUAAAUUGGAAAGAAAAGUUUGUGACAUGAUAAAAAAUUGUGUAGUAUUUACCAGCACCAUUCAGUAAUACAGCCUUAACCAUACCUCCUUUAACUACCUCAUAACUUGUCAAGAAAAGCAGUUUGCAGCAAGGGCAUGUGGCGUGCACCUAGUAUUAAAAUUGCUUUGUC